rnacentral:rRNA from 1 species
UACAGGGGGUGCAAACGUUGCUCGGAAUCAUUGGGCGUAAAGCGCACGUAGGCGGUUCGUUAUGUCGGAUGUGAAAGCCCUUGGCUUAACCGAGGAAGUGCAUCCGAAACUGGCGAGCUAGAGUACUAAAGAGGAUCGCGGAAUUCCCGGUGUAGAGGUGAAAAUUCGUAGAUAUCGGGAGGAACACCGGUGGCGAAGGCGGCGAUCUGGGUAGAUACUGACGCUGAGGUGCGAAAAGCGUGGGGGGAGCAAACAGG